UGCUCACGGUUGGCGGCAAUUGUCUCCCAAGAUACAACGGAUUCGAUUUGUGGUAGUAGCACUUCAAACCACAAAUCCAACGAACUUUCGACGGAGUUUCCCCUCUACAAGGAAACUCAUAUAUGAAAAGAGAUGAAGAAGAAGAGAAUUGCAAUUUUGAGAAGAAUGAAUGCUCAAUAUGCAAAUGGUGUACUCUCAAAGUCAUCCAAGGGGUCCUUUAUAUAGAGAAUGGAGUGGUGUGAUGAAAGGAUUUGAGCCAAACCAUGCAACCUUCCAAACAGGUGCCACUAUUCCAAAA
rnacentral:lncRNA from 1 species